rnacentral:rRNA from 1 species
CCUACGGGGGGCAGCAGUCGGGAAUUUUGCACAAUGGCCGAAGGGCGGUGGAACCAACUCCGCUUGAGCGAAGAAGGCCUUGGGGCCGUAAAGUUUGUUUGCUUGCGAAGAAGGGCCCUGCCAGGAAAUGGGCGGGGUUUGACGGUGGCGGGCGGGGAAGCCCCGGCAAACUACGUGCCAGCAGCCGCGGUAAUACGUAGGGGGCGAGCGUUGUCCGGAUUUACUGGGCGUAAAGGGCGUGUAGGCGGCCUGUUAAGUCAGGGGUGAAAGACCGGGGCUCAACCCCGGGGGUGCCUCUGAAACUGGCGGGCUUGAGUGCUCUAGAGGGCAGUGGAAUUCCCGGUGUAGCAGUGAAAUGCGUAGAGAUCGGGAGGAACACCAGUGGCGAAGGCGGCUGUCUGGGGAGUCACUGACGCUGAGGCGCGAAAGCUAGGGGAGCAAACAGGAUUAGAUACCCCUGUAGUC